CUGGGUUGAACAAUGCCAUCAACAGUCUUAAUAUCAGCAUAACACUUUGGCCCUCUUACCUUAUUGAGUAAAACCCUCAAAAAGUAUAGUUCCCCGGAAGAAGGAGAUACAGGCGCCAACCUCCCUAUAGCAAAUCCUUUUUUCCGUGGAUUCCAUGCUUUUAUUUUCGCGUCAUAGACAAAUUUCGUUGGUAGUUCAGCAUAUGUCAGUUCUCUUGCUUCAGGG
rnacentral:lncRNA from 1 species